UCUUAAUGUAGUACUGGAAGUUCAUGUAUU
rnacentral:piRNA from 2 species